rnacentral:lncRNA from 1 species
AAUUUGCAUGAAAACAAUCUUUGUUUCUUAAGAGUUUAUCUGAUCUUCCUGCUUAUUUCCAGCUCCCUGCUCCAUCUGCUCCUGAAAUGAUCAUUCCACGUGAUACAACAGAACAACUUCUGAAGCAAAUUGGGCUGACUUGAAUUGAGGAAUAAGCAAGAGGGAAUCUCUGGAAUGAAAGGUCCUUCUUUCAGUGUGAGUAUUGCCGGGAGAAUGUGGGGAACAGGCGUUUGAUGUAGGGAGAUACUGAGGAAAAUAACCUAGCUAGAUGGAACCUUCCAGGUGGUUUGUUUUGGAUACUGGCUUUUUCCCCUCCUAUUUGCAGGUAGCUCAAGCACUCAUACUGUGUUUGUGAUCUAUUAUUUGUUUCAAGAAUAUGCCCACAGAUGCCAUGAACAAAUUUUGUCUCAUGUAAUUAUAUCUCAAAAAAAAAAGUCAGAGUUAUUGCAUCCUUCCCACAAUCACAUGCCUUUAUCAGCCUCGACUGAGCCUCCCGUAGCCUGCAGGAGGACAGAGGCAGGCUGCAGUGAUUAGACCCUGACCGUAAUAUUUAUUAGACUUUCAGGAGGCAGGUUUGGCAGAAGAAAUUUCAUUGGUUGUGUAAAUACUCACUUUAAAGCCUGCUCUGGCUUCUCUAAACACCUGGACUGGGCUAUUUCAAAGGACUCAGCAUUGGUGUCACUGGUCUAGGUAAUGAAAAUAAAUUGACUCCUGAGGAAGUACAGUUAGGUCAAUGCUAAGCAGUUAUUUAAAUUCCACCUUCCUGCAAGCUAUGUUUAGAAAUAAAGCACGAAAGCACCCUUGGUGCCGUCACCAAGUCUUAUUUGCCUGGGCGCCUCCCAGUGCUUGGCAAUGUCUCAGCUGAGACCUCCAGCACCUGAACCCAAAUAGCAGAAAUAGCCGGCCCUGCCUGCCUGCUUUUGGUAGCCGCCAGAGCAGCUGGUUUGCCCACCUGGCACCCCCUGGCUUGGUGCCUUGCUGGUAUAGACAAGGGGUUCAUUUUGCUUAGGGUCUGUGGCUGGAUCCAGGGCCCCGCAACACGAGAACCGUGCCUGUCUUUGGAGGACGUUCAGUAUGAGCCAGUUGCUAUAGCGAGGGCGAAGGCGAAGUCAAAGAGCAAAGGAGGCUGGAAAAAUAAAGCAGGACGUUUCCAGUACAGCCCGGCCAGUGGGGAGCUGCGGAUAUCGGUCAAGUGCUGGGGGCAGAUGAUGGCUAUCUUUGCACCACAGAUAGCCGGUACCUUCACCCUCCUGAUCCUUCCAUCCCUGACCAGCCUCGUGUACCCAGCACAUUGAGCAAGACCCUCCUCUGCCUUAUUGCUGCUGUGAGUGUAUUUAUGAUGGCAGUUAGUUCCUUUGCCAUUAAAUGAGAUUUGGUGAGUAAGUGGCAGGGGCAAGCACAGGUAUACGUGCGUUAUCUCACAUAGUGCUGUGAAAUACGGCCUCAUAACCUUGGUGGUGGUGGGUUUCCUCUUCCCUCAGCCCAGAGGAUCCUGCUGGCAUAAACUAAAAAGUCAGCCUUCUCAGCAGAAAAAUGCAGAAGGUCAAAUACAAUUUUGUUAACAGGGAUUUGGGGUAUUUUUCCACUUUAACAAAUUAAUUAUAUUUCUUUUUGAUCUUCAAAGGCUCUGCUGAAUCAUUGUUUGUUCCUUUUUUUGGCAGGGAAAGCUGUUAGCAAUUCUGAGAAAUAAAUUGCAAACACUUUCGAACCUGAGGCCA